rnacentral:snRNA from 1 species
CAGUGGCUCAAACCAAGCCU